GCAUGGUUUGGCACAGUGGGCAGUGAACAUGGUGUAAAACAUUUUGUAGAUUUUUUCCUAUCCAGGGGUACAGUAUGAACAAUGGAGGUCCAUUGGCAUUCAACUUAAGGCAAUUAGAAAACAAUGAGGACUGACAAAUUAGAAUCAAUCAAAUUCAGACUUGUAACUAGACCUUUAUUAGUCAGUUACUUCAUUUUAGUUAAUUAAAGUUAGAGACAUUCAACUGAAAGGUAAGUUAUUCAUAUCUUUUAGAUCGUGAGAAGCUCAUUACUGAGCAUGCUAUUGCUUGGAAUCAAAGAAAAAUCAAUGGCAUGGCACAGAGUCUGUCAAGACGAUACACACAGACUCGUCCAAACAGCGUGCACACCCCCGCAAAAAGAUUUCUUCAAACAAGAAUAAGCAGUCUUCCCUAGUAGAUAAGUACAAUCAAGAGAAAGAAGGCAAUGAAGCUUUGCAAGCUACUGUCUCUGAAGUUAUGAAGGGGAAUUUCCCAUGGGGAAACACAACAGGUACACCAAUGAGAAUCAAGAAAGUCAUCGUU